CCUGACGACGCAACGCCGCGUGGAGGAUGAAGGUCUUCGGAUUGUAAACUCCUGUUGCCCGGGACGAAUGGCUCCGACCUAACACGUCGGAGUGUGACGGUACCGGGUGAGGAAGCCCCGGCUAACUCAGUGCCAGCAGCCGCGGUAAUACAGAGGGGGCAAGCGUUGUUCGGAAUUACUGGGCGUAAAGGGCGCGUAGGCGGCCUGCUAAGUCGAACGUGAAAUCCCCGGGCUCAACCCGGGAACUGCGUCCGAUACUGGUUGGCUUGAAUCCGGGAGAGGGAUGCGGAAUUCCAGGUGUAGCGGUGAAAUGCGUAGAUAUCUGGAGGAACACCGGUGGCGAAGGCGGCAUCCUGGACCGGCAUUGACGCUGAGGCGCGAAAGCCAGGGGAGCAAACGGGAUUAGAUACCCCGGUAGUCCUGGCCCUAAACGAUGAAUGCUUGGUGUGGUGGGUAUCGAUCCCUACCGUGCCGAAGCUAACGCAUUAAGCAUUCCGCCUGGGGAGUACGGUCGCAAGGCUG
rnacentral:rRNA from 1 species